GACGAACGCUGGCGGCGUGCUUAACACAUGCAAGUCGAACGAAGAGCGAUGGAAGCUUGCUUCUAUCAAUCUUAGUGGCGAACGGGUGAGUAACGCGUAAUCAACCUGCCCUUCAGAGGGGGACAACAGUUGGAAACGACUGCUAAUACCGCGUACGAUCUAAUCUCGGCAUCGAGGAUAGAUGAAAGGUGGCCUCUACAUGUAAGCUAUCACUGAAGGAGGGGAUUGCGUCUGAUUAGCUAGUUGGAGGGGUAACGGCCCACCAAGGCGAUGAUCAGUAGCCGGUCUGAGAGGAUGAACGGCCACAUUGGGACUGAGACACGGCCCAGACUCCUACGGGAGGCAGCAGUGGGGAAUCUUCCGCAAUGGACGAAAGUCUGACGGAGCAACGCCGCGUGAGUGAUGACGGCCUUCGGGUUGUAAAGCUCUGUUAAUCGGGACGAAAGGCCUUCUUGCGAAUAGUGAGAAGGAUUGACGGUACCGGAAGAGAAAGCCACGGCUAACUACGUG
rnacentral:rRNA from 1 species